GGGCUGUAGCUCAGCGGGAGAGUGUCUGCCUUGCAUGCAGAAGGACCCAGGUUCAUUCCCUGGCAACAUCU